GGCGCCGUAUAGUCAUAUCUGCAGUCGAGCGACAGAUAAGGAGCUUGCUCCUUUGACGUUAGCGGCGGACGGGUGAGUAACACGUGGAUAACCUACCUAUAAGACUGGGAUAACUUCGGGAAACCGGAGCUAAUACCGGAUAAGAUUUUGAACCGCAUGGUUCAAUAGUGAAAGACGGCCUUGCUGUCACUUAUAGAUGGAUCCGCGCCGUAUUAGCUAGUUGGUAAGGUAACGGCUUACCAAGGCAACGAUACGUAGCCGACCUGAGAGGGUGAUCGGCCACACUGGAACUGAGACACGGUCCAGACUCCUACGGGAGGCAGCAGUAGGGAAUCUUCCGCAAUGGGCGAAAGCCUGACGGAGCAACGCCGCGUGAGUGAUGAAGGUCUUCGGAUCGUAAAACUCUGUUAUCAGGGAAGAACAAACGUGUAAGUAACUGUGCACGUCUUGACGGUACCUGAUCAGAAAGCCACGGCUAACUACGUGCCAGCAGCCGCGGUAAUACGUAGGUGGCAAGCGUUAUCCGGAAUUAUUGGGCGUAAAGCGCGCGUAGGCGGUUUUUUAAGUCUGAUGUGAAAGCCCACGGCUCAACCGUGGAGGGUCAUUGGAAACUGGAAAACUUGAGUGCAGAAGAGGAAAGUGGAAUUCCAUGUGUAGCGGUGAAAUGCGCAGAGAUAUGGAGGAACACCAGUGGCGAAGGCGACUUUCUGGUCUGUAACUGACGCUGAUGUGCGAAAGCGUGGGGAUCAAACAGGAUUAGAUACCCUGGUAGUCCACGCCGUAAACGAUGAGUGCUAAGUGUUAGGGGGUUUCCGCCCCUUAGUGCUGCAGCUAACGCAUUAAGCACUCCGCCUGGGGAGUACGACCGCAAGGGUUGAACUCAAAGGGAAUUGACGGGGACCCGCACAAGCGGUGGAGCAUGUGGUUUAUUUCGAAGCAACGCGAGAACCUUUACCAAAUCUUGACAUCCUUUUGACCGCUCUAGAGAUAGAGUUUUCCCCUUCGGGGGACAAAGUGACAGGGUGGUGCAUUGAUGUCGGUCAGCUCGUGUCGUGAGAUGUGGAUCAGUCCCGCAACGAGGCACGUUAAGGCUUACUGCAAUCAUAAGCUGGGGCACCUCUUAAAGA
rnacentral:rRNA from 1 species